UACGUAGGGUGCAAGCGUUAUCCGGAAUUAUUGGGCGUAAAGAGCUCGCAGGCGGUUUGUCGCGUCUGCUGUGAAAACCGGAGGCUCAACCUCCGGCCUGCAGUGGGUACGGGCAAACUAGAGUGCGGUAGGGGAGAUUGGAAUUCCUGGUGUAGCGGUGGAAUGCGCAGAUAUCAGGAGGAACACCGAUGGCGAAGGCAGAUCUCUGGGCCGUAACUGACGCUGAGGAGCGAAAGCGUGGGGAGCGAACAGG
rnacentral:rRNA from 1 species